rnacentral:rRNA from 1 species
CCUACGGGAGGCAGCAGUGGGGAAUCUUGCGCAAUGGGCGAAAGCCUGACGCAGCAACGCCGCGUGAACGAUGAAGGCCUUCGGGUCGUAAAGUUCUGUCAGGGGGGACGAAGAUGUGACGUACGCACGACGAUCC